rnacentral:rRNA from 1 species
AGAGUUUGAUCCUGGCUCAGGAUGAACGCUGGCGGCGUGCUUAACACAUGCAAGUCGAGCGGAGAAAUAGGAAGGAAUCCCUUCGGGGAGGAAUUCCUAUUUCUUAGCGGCGGACGGGUGCGUAACACGUGGGUAACCUGCCCUUAUCACCGGAAUAACACACUGAAAAGUGUGCUAAUACCGGAUAACAUCAUCUUAUGGCAUCAUAGGAUGAUCAAAGCGUUAGCGGAUAAGGAUGGGCCCGCGUCUGAUUAGCUAGUUGGUAGGGUAACGGCCUACCAAGGCAACGAUCAGUAGCCGACCUGAGAGGGUGAUCGGCCACACUGGAACUGAGACACGGUCCAGACUCCUACGGGAGGCAGCAGUGGGGAAUAUUGCACAAUGGGCGAAAGCCUGAUGCAGCAACGCCGCGUGAGCGAUGAAGGCCUUCGGGUCGUAAAGCUCUGUCCUAUGGGAAGAUAAUGACGGUACCAUAGGAGGAAGCCCCGGCUAACUACGUGCCAGCAGCCGCGGUAAUACGUAGGGGGCAAGCGUUAUCCGGAAUUACUGGGCGUAAAGGGUGCGUAGGCGGUUUAUCAAGUCAGGGGUGAAAGGCUACGGCUCAACCGUAGUGAGCCUCUGAAACUGGUGAACUUGAGUGUAGGAGAGGAAAGUGGAAUUCCUAGUGUAGCGGUGAAAUGCGUAGAUAUUAGGAGGAACACCAGUGGCGAAGGCGGCUUUCUGGACUGUAACUGACACUGAGGCAUGAAAGCGUGGGUAGCAAACAGGAUUAGAUACCCUGGUAGUCCACGCCGUAAACGAUGGGUACUAGGUGUAGGAGGUAUCGACCCCUUCUGUGCCGUCGUUAACACAAUAAGUACCCCGCCUGGGGAGUACGGUCGCAAGACUAAAACUCAAAGGAAUUGACGGGGGCCCGCACAAGCAGCGGAGCACGUGGUUUAAUUCGAAGCAACGCGAAGAACCUUACCUAGACUUGACAUCUCCUGAAUUACCCUUAACCGGGGAAGCCCUUCGGGGCAGGAAGACAGGUGGUGCAUGGUUGUCGUCAGCUCGUGUCGUGAGAUGUUGGGUUAAGUCCCGCAACGAGCGCAACCCUUAUUUUUAGUUGCUACCAUUCAGUUGAGCACUCUAAAGAGACUGCCCGGGUUAACCGGGAGGAAGGUGGGGAUGACGUCAAAUCAUCAUGCCCCUUAUGUCUAGGGCUACACACGUGCUACAAUGGUGAGAACAAAGAGACGCAAGACCGCGAGGUGGAGCCAAUCUCAUAAAACUCAUCCCAGUUCGGAUUGCAGGCUGAAACUCGCCUGCAUGAAGUCGGAGUUGCUAGUAAUCGCGAAUCAGCAUGUCGCGGUGAAUACGUUCCCGGGCCUUGUACACACCGCCCGUCACACCAUGAGAGUUGGCAAUACCCGAAGUCUGUGGGGUAACCGCAAGGGGCCAGCAGCCGAAGGUAGGGUCAGCGAUUGGGGUGAAGUCGUAACAAGGUAACC